GGCUCCAGAAAGACGUUUGUUCCUGCAAGGUGGGAAUGUAACAAGAGACUCGGGGCUCGUCCUUUCAACUGAUGCAAAACCUCGAUUGAAAUGGACCCCAGAUCUUCACGAACGCUUCAUAGAGGCAGUUAAUCAGCUCGGAGGAGCAGACAGUAAGUGAAAAAAAAGAAGUAAAUUCAGUUUGAAGGUAUCCUAGAACUUCAACUUACUACAGUAACCUGUUCUUAAUUUAUUUUUUUUGUUUUUGGUUUCUCUAUUGCAGAGGCUACUCCAAAAUCGGUUUUAAAAUUAAUGGGAAUUCAAGGACUUACUUUGUACCACUUGAAGAGCCAUCUUCAGGUAUCUACAAAUGCACAAGUUCUAAUUCGUAUUCAUUAAGAAACGAAGUUUUAAUAGUCUAUCAGUGUCAGAAUCCGGAUCUUAUAACAAAGGAACCAAAAGAUAUUACCAUCAAGAUGACAGUUUUUGAAUGAACUCUCUUGAUUUUAAUGUUGUAUUGAAAAGAGCAUAAUCGUAGUUUUUUGGCUGGCAGAAGUAUAGGCUAAGCAAGAACAUACAUGGGCAAGCAAAUACUGGAUCCAGCAAAGUUGGUGAGUCUACAGAUUACUAAUCAGUUUUUUCGUAAAAAAUAGUCCAUCACAUAGCUAGAGUUUAACAAUGAUCUUACUAUUAGGAUUGGUCGCAGCAGAAGACCUAACGCCAGAGGCAAACGAAAGCCACAUGUUAAAUUCAAGCAUCGGAACUCAUAACAAAAAGUAAGAACCAUCUAAAAAUAAAUAAAUCAUGCGAUUUCAGACAUACUGCUGGUAUUGUGACCUAACUACUAUGAUGUCUUUACCCUGAAGUCCGCAUAUAAGUGAAGCAAUACAAAUGCAAAUUGAAGUGCAGAGGCAGCUACAUGAGCAGCUUGAGGUAUGCAAUACUCACUAUCUAUCAGAUACAAAAAUUUCUUCUCCGACAUUAAAAUUUUUGGAGUAGUACUCACUUGUAUGUUGAACAGGUACAACGACACCUGCAACUCCGAAUAGAAGCUCAAGGGAAAUACCUGCAAGCAGUGUUGGAGAAAGCUCAAGAUACAAUUACAAAGCAGAAUUUAGGCGAAUUAGGACACGAGGCUACAAAGGCCCGACUAUCAGAACCCGUCUCUACAGCAUACAACAGAUGCUUAAAUUCGACGAAUCAUGUUCAAAGCUCCUGUGAGCAGCAAAAGCAAUCAAACCUAGAGGGCUCACUCGAUAGCUGCAUAACAUCUUCUGGAGGCUCACUACGAAACCAAGAUUUAAACAGCAAUGUUAUGCACUCGACAAAUUUGGUCUUUGCACCAAUGAAAAGCAGUAAAAUUGAUAAUGAUCCGAGAAAUCAAGCAUUUGAUGCUGAGCUACAGGCUAUUGAGUUGUCCAUGAAUAUUCAAAGAGGAAAAUGGUACGACGACAAGAGUUAUAAUCACGAAGGUCUCAAAGAAACGAACGAUGGUAUUGGCUAUACUGGUAAAAUUACGAAGAGAACAGAUUCAGGUAAACCAGAAAAUGAUGACACAAUGCAAGAGUCGCAGCUUGCCUGCUUCAUGCCAAAGUUGGACCUAAAUAUACAUGAUGAGAAUGAUGCUACUUUGAGAUGUAAGCAAUUUGACCUAAAUAGUUUUAACUGGUGAUUAGUAGCUUAACUUUUUUAAGUAGAAGAAAUGAGCAUUGUUAGCCAGAAACUAUCAGGUAGCUAACAUCGAAAAUGAUCUAAUAAGCUCNAUCAAUCGGAAGAGCGUCUUCUUAAACUCAAUUUGAGUAAGCUCCAAAGAAGUGAUGAAAAUCUUCCGUUUGUUCCAAUCAAUUUUUACUUGACAAUAAAAAAUAUACGAAAUAAAUAAUUAUUCAGAAAUAAUUAUGCCAUAUAUGAACUGAUUUAAAUUAAAUGCAAAAUCGUAAAUAAUCCACCUAUCAAAUGACAUAUUUUAAUCGGAAAUCGAAAAUUCAAAUCUGCUCCCUUAUACAUUCUCCCAACGGGACAUUGGACAAACAGCAUGAACUAAUUCGACGAACCGUAGUUUUCUACUGGGAGAAGAAAGUAACUUCUAAUUUGUUGAGGUCCCACACAUACCACCAAGGCACCAACAGCAAUUAAUUUUACAAAAUAAAUUGGGGAAUUAUCUUGUAUACUGUUUUUUUAAUCUUAUUUUCAAAAAUACUACCUUCGCCAAUCCUAUUUUCAAAAAUACUACCUUCUCUAAAAUAUUUUCAUAAAUACUAUCUUUUUGAAAAUAUUUUCCAAAGAUGAGGUCGAAAUUGACAAUUGAAAUCUGAAACUUGAAAUCAGGAUUUGUGGUUGCAUAUAUGGUUGCAUAUGCAACCACAGUAUUUUUGAAAAUAUUUUAGAGAUCGUAGUAUUUUUGAAAAUAAGAUUGGAGAAAAUAGUAUUUUUGAGAAUAAGAUUGAAAACAUGGUUAUGAAUAAAAAAAGCCCUAAUUUUUUUAGGAGGAUGCAGAGCCAAUGGAGGUUCUGUUGCAUAUUCUUGGAAUUAAUUAAGACAUAUUAAAAUUUUUCAUUUUGGUUGUAUUCGAAUUUUAUUUUCGUAGUAUUAGUACUUUAUAAUUUGCUUGAAUUUGGUGAAGUAGAAGAGUUCAUAACUUUUGUUAAGAGCCGGCGCUUUAGUUUAUAAUAGUGUUAUUCUUAGCAGCUUUUGCCAAUUUAUGGAAGAAUAUUAAGAAUCUAGUGUACACACACGUCAGGCAGGGCAUAAUAAAUCUAGUGUGCAUAAUAAAUUUUAUAUAAUUUAUUAUUUAUGGUUUAUAACAAAAAUAAAUUUAUAUAAAAAUAUAAUUUUACAUUUUCUAGGGCCUCAUUUUUAUCUUUGAACAGGACAUCUGAGAAUAAUUAGCCGGCACCGUGGAUAAUAUAAGUUAGUUUGCAGAGAUGAGACGCAAUUACUAAUCGUCGUCAAAUAGUCAUAUAAUGGAUAAUAUAAACUAGCAUGUAAUGGAUAAUAUAAACUAACAUAUACAUGUGUAGUUAUUAUCUCGGGUUGUUUAUAACUUAAUUGACUAUUUAUAUUCAUUAAAUCUAAUUUACAAGUUUUUGUUACUUUUCAGGAAAAUGUUUUUUUGAAAAAGAUAAAUAAAUAUUCUAAAAAUGAAAAUUUAUUUUUAUAAACAGACAAGCUAAACACCCUCCGUACUCUUUCUCUGUUGGUCUUAUCUUUCGUAAUCAUGAGGGCGAGUUUAUUGUUGAUAGAGGAAUUUGGUAAUCAACAAAGAUGAGGUUCAUGGCCGGAAUCAAGAUCCGUGACGGUGGUUUUGGUCGCCGGAGAGUGGUGGUUGUUUGUUUGAGGGUGGCUGAGAUCAAGGGAAUAUAUUUCUGCUCUCGUUCUCACAACUCUCGAUAUAUCCCCUUGAUGUGCCUACGUACCCCUUUAUAUAGGGGAUCAAGCCGUACGUAGUUCUAUAGAACCAAGACUCCUAGUUUGAUCAGGACUAGGCCUCUUGGGGAUAAGACCAACCGUGGGUCGGAGACUUAUCACUUAGAGUUCUACUCCAGUUAGAAGUAAGCCUUGAGACAACUACCUUAGAAUCCUAGUCCAAGUACAUCACGGAUACGGCAUCACCUCCACUACGAGAGGUGACACUAACCGCUACUCUUCGUAACAUGGAGGAGACAUCGGAUAGAGUCGUAACCACUUCCAUGAGGCGUAUGGACGCGUCCUUACCCCCUAGUGAAGGUUCUCACUAAGAGAUAAGACAAUUGAGGAGCCAAGUUACACGAUCGUCCCAGUCCCCCAAUGAGGACUAACUCACCAGAAUACAGGACCCGGACAUAUGAUCGGCCUUCGUGUUACCCCUGAGGGCCUUCUACAACCAUGAUCACCCCAGGCCCCCGCACGAGGACAACCCGGCAGAUAGCAGGACUGGGGAUUAUAGAUCACGCCCGGACGUAACCCGGGAACUACCAGAUGAGCCUGAUAACUACCAGAUGAGCUCUGGCACUAGUCUUCAUAUCCCUCGGAAGGGUAAAUCUUCGUAUCCCUCGGAAGGGUCGUCAUCGAGACUCACUCAACCUCACACACAUUCAUCACCUAUGGGCGCGACCACGGAGGGCGCGCCCUUGACCCUUGUUCCUCAUUCUCUUCACACUUCAGACACGUGACAUCGUGCUCUUGAGACAAAGGGCCGCGCCUCCCGGAUUACCCGCGGAGGGCGCGCCCUCUCCCAAUUCACGUGGCCAAAUGUGGCCAAAUAUGGUCAAGCCUCUCAUAGAGGUUACACCUCCAAGGGGUACGCCCUCUCAAAGAGGUCAAACCUCUCAUAGAGGUCACACCUCCCAUAGAGGUUACACCUCCAAGGGGUACGCCCUCUCAUUCAAUGCGUCCACAUGUGGGCGCGACCCCUGAGGGCGCGCCCUUCAUCUUCGAUGUCUUGUCUCAUGAGUCGUCUCAACAGGUCAGACAUGUCUUCUAAUAUCCGAAGGCCGCGCCCACGGGAUCCCCCCGCCAAGGGCGCGCCCUUGGUCUUCUUCCCAUGGCUAUCCAAGAUACUCCACUAACAUGCUCCCCCGCCAAGGGCGCGCCCUCUAUAAGAUUACCAGGGACAAAUCUGGCCAUAACAUUUAUUAUGGGAAAAGUGAGGAAAAUGUUGAUGGUAAACUCAGCAUUUGAGGAAAAGUGAGGAAAAUAUUGAUGGUAAACUCAGCAUUUGAGGCCGAGGUUGUUGCUAUUAACGAGGGCCUUCAUUGGGUGGCUUCUUUGCCGUAUCAAAAGGUUGAGAUAGAGUCAGAUUCUUUACUCUCCGUCCAAGCUCUUAAUCGUUCUAGCGAUAUUGUUCUAGAAGUUGGUUUUGUCUUAGAUGAUUGUCGUGAUAUUAUUCAAUCUAGAACGGGAUUAUCUGUUACUUUUGCUAAAAGGCAAGCAAAUAAAGCAGCUCAUUUAAUGGCUAGACUUCCUUGUUUGCUAGAAUGCCAAAGCAUUUUCACGUCUCCUCCUAGUACGUUGUUGGAGACUUUGAUGUAUGAUGCUUCUUUUGAAUGAAACUCACUUUGCUUAAAAAAAAAUAAUCUAUUUUUGACAUAUAAAGUGUUCUCGUGCCCAUAUACAAAUUUAAUCAACUUUUUUCUUGACCAGGACCAAGGUGGAUUUGUGAAAAUUAUCAGCAUGGACAAGGGCCAUUUCUAUGUUAGUCAAUAGAUGGGCCGAUUCAGUGUUAGGUCCUUUUUUCAAAAAUCUGUUAUUAAUUUGUAGACUUUCUUGUGAACAAGAGUUAUGACGAAAUUAAUUCGAAAUGAAUACUUUAGUUUUCAUAUUUGUAUUCGUUUUAAAUAUAUAUAUUCGUAUUCGUAUUCGUUUAUUAUCCGAAUAAUUAUUUGUUCUCGUAUUCGGAUUUGAUUAAAUUCACGAACUAUUCAUAUUCGUUUAAAAUACUUAUUUUAAAAAAAUAAUACUAAAAUAACUAAAGUGUUGGCCGUUAACAAAAAUUAUGAACUCCCAUAUUUCACCAAUUCAAGCAAAUUAUAAAGUACCGAUGUUUGAUGCUACAGUCAUCCAACUCAAAAUGAAUAAAAUUCAAAUUAUAACCAAAAUAUAAGAGUUUAAUAUGUAUUAAUUAAUUCCAAAAUCAUGCAACUGAACUUCCACUAUUAUAAUCUUACAAUCAAUUUUGCGGCGCUUGCGGAACAAAGAAUUGAGCAGUAGGAACACCAGACAUUAAGCAACAACUACGAUGUCUUCAACCUAGUUGUACCAUAACAAACUAUUAUCAAGAUUCAAGAAACAUUAAAAAAAAUAUUAAACUACUCAGAACAGACUAAUUAAUUAAAGCCAACAUAAAUUACAGAAAAGGACUUAAUGGGCAUGCUAAAGAUAGAAACGUUAAGAGCAAAAUCAAGAAAAUUUCUUUCAGACAUUUAAACAAACUCUUGAGAGCAUAAAAAAACAUAAAACAAACAACGAACUUACAAUAUUGCUAGCAGGGUGAUUCUAGUGGAGAUGAUCAGGGAAGUGUUGAUGCCUUGAUGGAGAAGUGGUUAAGUGGACCGGGUCG
rnacentral:lncRNA from 1 species